GAGCGCACGGCUUUGUCACUGGCGCCGCANCUUUCUAAGUGUCUGCCUUAUCUAGCUUUCGAUUGUAGGUUAUGUCGCCUACAAUGGCUAUAACGGUAACGGGGAAGUCAGGGUUCGGAUUCCGGAGAGGGAGGCCUGAGAAACGGCUACCACAUCUAAGGAGGGCAGCAGGCACGCAAAUUACCCACUCCCGGCACGGGGAGGUAGUGACGAAAAAUAACGAUGCGAGACUCAUCCGAGGCCUCGCAAUCGGAAUGAGUACACUUUAAAUCCUUUAACGAGGACCCAUUGGAGGGCAAGUCUGGUGCCAGCAGCCGCGGUAAUUCCAGCUCCAAUAGCGUAUAUUAAAGUUGUUGCGGUUAAAAAGCUCGUAGUUGGAUUACAGUUCCGGACUGACGGUUCACCGCCCGGUGCUUACUGUCACGCUCCGAACAGCUUGGCCCUUCGACCGGGGCCGCCCCGCCGGCUCGCGACGGGUGCUAUUCAUCGAGU
rnacentral:rRNA from 1 species